AGCGAACGCUGGCGGCAGGCUUAACACAUGCAAGUCGAGCGGGCACUUUCGGGUGUCAGCGGCGGACGGGUGAGUAACGCGUGGGAACGUGCCCUCUGGUUCGGAAUAACUCAGGGAAACUUGAGCUAAUACCGGAUACGCCCUUUUGGGGAAAGGCUUGCUGCCGGAGGAUCGGCCCGCGUCUGAUUAGCUAGUUGGUGAGGUAACGGCUCACCAAGGCGACGAUCAGUAGCUGGUCUGAGAGGAUGAUCAGCCACACUGGGACUGAGACACGGCCCAGACUCCUACGGGGGGCAGCAGGGGGGAAUUUUGGAAAAGGGGGGAAAGCCUAACCCAGCCAUGCCGGGUGAGUGAUGAAGGCCUUAGGGUUGAAAAGCUUUUUUAUCCGGGACGAUAAUGGCGGGACCGGGGGAAUAAGCCCCGGCUAACUUCGU
rnacentral:rRNA from 1 species